CUAAAUGCCAUCCGCUGUAGAAGGCGGAGUUUGGACUUUUAAUGGCGGCGUCGUCGAGCAGGCGCGCCGUCGAAAAGUUUAGGCUGCUGGAGUUCGCUCCCUGGAGGACGUCAGCGGCUUCGACGGCGGCGCUGUGCUGCGCCGCUCGCGUGGUGCGGGUCGCCUCUUCCUGUCGUUCCGCUCUCCCCACAUGCCCUCCUGAAAGUACGCAACGAAACAAUGAAGGGUGCGCUUUACACGCUCUUAUAGCCAGGAUCUAGCCGAUUCGAAGGUGUACGCGAGGGCGCAACGGCAGUGCCGGAGCUAGGGAGCUGUGGCCGCGCUCUUUCCGGCGAAAGCUGAAUCAACAUGUGCGCCGAGCGCGGGCGCGGCGUCCCACAGCUGGUCAACAGCGAAUCGGCGCCGAGCCCGCCGUGACGCGACCCGGGCCCUCUUAUAAAAAGGCACUUUGGUGCUCACGCGGGGGCCUGACGUCCUCGCUGCCGCUGGCUGUGGGUUUUGGCGCCGCGCGGGUUACGCUGUGUGCGCGCGCUGGGCGCCGAUGUGUCGCCGCCGUCCGACGGAGCACAGCGCCGGCCACGCCAUCGCCAUCUCAAUUAAGGCUAUUCUAUCCGGACAGUAUUGAAUGGUGAAUGCCAGAAGAGGACCCGCUACGAACAGUAGCACGCGCUGGACAGUAGAGCAGUUUUCUCACCGACGAAUUAAAUGAUAAGUAUUAUUGCA